ACUGGUUAGGUUGUGAUUUGUCGGACAGUGGGACAACAUGCCCUCUGGUGCUUAGUGAUAUCCCCCUGGAGAUUCAUUUUCUCUAUGUACUGUCACUUGGUAUCUGGCCAACGGUUUCAUCACCCAUGUCCAAAUCUAUUUGCCUUACACUUGCUCUUCCAUAGAUUUGUGGGAGUCAGUCAGGAUCCACCCUAGGUUUGUGUUUGUCCAUCCUGUGUGUGGCCUAAAGGGUAUAAUUUCGGUAGGCUGUGCGCCACUGAAGUGGUGCAUUAACUUAAUGAAUCGAUAAAAUCUAUGUAGGUCCCCCUGCACUUGUUCGUUGUGGGAUUUGGGAGUAGGGACGAAGGGUCUUGGCGACCGCUUCCUGUGCUCGAUCCGUAGGUUGGCCCUCGCGGUAUUCAUCAUCCUGAUAUUCUAGGCUAUUUUGCUCGCGGAGACCGCUUGCCGAACUCUUCCCGACUGGGCAACGAUAUUCCAGUUUCGCUAUCUCUGUAGCUUCUUCAGGGAAAGAUA